rnacentral:rRNA from 1 species
UACAGGGGUGGCAAGCGUUGUCCGGAAUUACUGGGUGUAAAGGGUGCGUAGGCGGACUGGUAAGUCAGCGGUCAAAUCCGACAGCUCAACUGUCGACGAUCCGUUGAUACUGCUAGUCUUGAAUCUGAGAGAGAUAAGUGGAAUUUCCAGUGUAGCGGUGAAAUGCGUAGAGAUUGGAAAGAACACCAGUUGCGAAGGCGGCUUAUUAGCUCACGAUUGACGCUGAGGCACGAAAGCAUGGGUAGCAAACAGG